rnacentral:piRNA from 1 species
AAGAAGAAGUCUCACGUGCGGA